AUGUCAAAAAUAGUUCUGGCUGAUGGGCAGCUUACUGUGCAUAAGUCAGUGCUGAAUCCGACUUCUCCCUUUCUACAUUGCCUGAUAGAAGUCAUUGGGGAAUACUCUGUAUGUGAAUUUUCACUGUUGGGGAAAGCAAUUUUUGGAAGGAGUCAAGGGAUUGGAUUGUGGAUUGCAUUAGUGGCGUUCCUCAGUUUCCUCAUCUUCUCCACAAGUUUCUACAUAUCGAAUGCAGAGCAGCCCUUCUUCAAAGGACCUCCUACGGAACCUGCUAAGGAACUCAGUCUGUAGCUCUGUGUGGAGCCAUGUGUAAACACUGAAACGAGACCUGCCACCUCCUACUACCUAAUGGCCCCUUCUCAUCUGAGAAGAUCAUUCCCUAGAAACAAGCUCAUGCUGAUGUCCAUGUUUUUUUGUUGUUGUUGUUGUUUUGUUUUUGGAUUGGAUAUAUGGAGAAUUUUCCUUUCCCUUAGAAUUAAAAUCCUGCUUUCUAGUUUUCAGCAAGCUUUUUAAUUUUGGAAUAAUUUUAAAUUUAAAGAGAAGUUGCAAAGAUAGUACAGAAUGUUUUCUUAUACCUCUCAUCUAUUUCCCCCUUUUAUUACCAUUUUACAUGACCAUGGUAUACUUUUUAAAACUAAUAUACCAACACCGAGGCUUUAUUAUCAACUACACUCCAGAUUGUACUUGGAUGUUGCCAGUUUUUCUAUGAAUGUUUUCUUUCUGUUCCUUGAUUCCCCUUUUUUGUUCUAUUAGUUAAAUAGUUAAUAGAAUACACAGUUAGCUAUUAAAUUAAUAGAAACCAUAAGUAGUUGACUAAUUAAUAGAAACCAGGACACCCAAUUGCUUAAGUAUCAUAUUUGCUUAGUCUCCUCUGGACUAUUGCAAUUUCUCAGUCUCUCCUUGUUUCAAAUGAUCUUGAUGGUUUUGAGAAACAGUGGUCAGAUUUUGCAGAAUGUUUCUUCUUUGGUGUUUGUCUAAUGUUUUCCUCAUCAUUAGACUAGUCUUAGGGUUAUUUUUGUAAGAAAGCUACAGACAAUAUGCAGGAAAAUGAUUAUGGACAUUUUACUAUAAAACUCUACUUAUAGGCACUGAGAUGUAAACUUCAUGUACUUGUCACACCACACAAUAUUCUGUUCAUUUUUAUUAUCAUUAAAAUAUGUAAAAAACAAAAAUAAACUCUCUUAAUUCACUAAACAAAAUUAAGAGGUUCUGAUUUGGCCCAUGCAGCAUUUCGUUGACCAUUGGUAUAGAGUAAUACCAUCUUACUUUUUACCGUAAAAAUAAUUGAAUAGACAUGAAGAAAUUAAUAAGACUCAGGUAUGCAGAUGCUAUUUAUGGGGGUGAGGAAGCAGCUUGUUGUAUACUAAGUGGCUAAACCAUUAUUGUGUUAUUGUCUUGCCUAUUAAUUUUAAGGAGUAUAUAUCACAGUCUAUAAUGGGCUUUGAGGGUUCUAAUGCAUGCAUGUGCGUGUCUGUAUGUGCAUGUGUGUUUGUGUGUGUGCCUGUGUGUGUGCGUAUUUUCACAGGAAACUGAGUGGAAACUCCAUGGCAGGCAUGGUCCCUACUGGCUGGUCCACAGGGAAUGUGCAGCCACUGUUGAUAGAAAUACCCGCCAGGUACAGCCGUUCGUAUGGCCUCUGGGUACAGGUGAUGACUGAUGAAUGCCAUCUGGUGUCAAUGCCGGGUCUGCUGAAUCUGACCAGCUCUUCUUGGUGUGACCCUGAUGCCUAUGUGAUGUGUCCUGGGGCUGCCCGUGUGUAUCUAAGGCUUUCCAACCUUUCCUGUCCUUCUCAAACCCAGUCAAUUUCCUUCCUAUACUUUUUUUUAUUUCUCAUAGGGCAGCCAGAAUGGCUUUCUGUUGCUUGAGAGAAUCAAUGAAAAGUAACAGUGUUCUCCCUUGAAUGUUGGACUUACAUGCAUAUAAUUGUGUAAUUCUGUUUAUUUUCAUUGUAUUGUUUUAUCAAUAGCUUCAUUCUCCUAAAAUACUGAAGAAAAAUGUGAUGUAAUUCAUGUUUGCUUCUAAGGCAAAUGUUCAUUUUCAGUAACCUAAGUUUAACUUCUCUCUAACUUGUGGUUGAGAUCACCUGUUUGUAUCUGUUUUUAUUUAGAGCGAUGUUCCCAGGAGGCGUGAUAAUGCAGCAAUGGACAAGGACAGGAACAAGAGACAGUUUUACCAUCUUCCUACAAUUUGUAGAUGGGACAGUGGAAACAGAAGCCACAUUGGGGUUGGGCAUGCAGAGAUCUGGCCCUAAAUCGAUGUGAAUUUUGCCAAUUGCUUUUGCCUCACAGAGCUCUAGGUUCUUACCUGACAAACAGGAACCAGACCAUCAGAUCCAUAGAGAUUUAAUCAAUGGAGCCUUUGAAAACUUCACACGGCCUGUGUCAAUGCGAGGUUGCUGGAUGAUUAUGACAAGAAAUCACAUUGAAUUCACUGUGGUAACAUUGUGGUAACAUUGUUCAUGAAACGGGAUAAUGUGUUUCAGCGAUGAACCACCACGGUCUUACGACAGACAUAUUUCCACUUUGAAAAGGUGUGUGCGUGUAUGUGUCUGUGUGUGAUACAGUGAUUGGAAAGUAUAAAUGUGUGCGUUUUCAUUUUACACAUCUUACAUUUUCCUUUAAAUUGUGUGAAAGCCUGUUUUGUUUGUGACUUCCAUUCUUGGAGGUCCCAUGAGUUGUUAGUGGUGAAGAUGGAACAGAUGGAGACUCCUGCCCUCAGGGACUGACCACUGCAAACAUCCCUCUCUCAUCUGAUUCCACUGUUUCUUCCACAUGUACACAUCAUGAGAAAUAAUGUUCAAUCAAUAUAUUUCUUUAAAUCAACUCAUAUGCUUAUUUACAUGAAUUUACCUAAAACAGAAACUUGAUAUCACUUCUGUAAAUGAAAAAAUUAAACUUUCUGGCUAUAAAUAAAGUGUAACAAUAAUAAUCAUGCCAAAAAAUA